GGAUGUGAGGGCGAUCAGGCUGCGUCACCCCAUUGAUGGCCAGGGUUAAUUUGGCUGAUCUGGCUGACUAGACGUGUGUCCCCUUCCUCCCUCAUCCGCUCCAUAUGCAUCCCUCCCGAAGCCUCGCACUGGCGCUCAGUUGAAGAGGACGACCUUCCCGGAUAGAGGAGAAUACCGUUCUUCGGUCAAGGGUAUAUGAGUAGCUGCGCUCUCAUGCUAGAAUCUGCAAACAAGCUCCCAAAAAGGAUAAUUUCAAAUAAGUUGUUUUUUUUUUAACUGAACCUUCAGUUAGCAAA
rfam:Pteropus alecto contig96690, whole genome shotgun sequence.